rfam:Brassica oleracea var. oleracea cultivar TO1000 chromosome C1, whole genome shotgun sequence
AGAAUAUAAAAACCCGUCUCUUAACUUUUAACUAAAAAGCUAAGAACUGGUUCUUAAAUAAGAGUUUUAAGAACCGGUUCUUAACUUUUUUAGUUAAAAUUAAAAGACAGGUUCUUAUAUUCC